GUGAACUUCUUCCUACAUCCGAAGACAAGUCAGAAAAUCAACACGUACAAAAAUUAGUACUCGGGGGUUCAGGCCACGGGUACUUACACUACUUGGCAAGUUGGCGACGCAGUACUCCCGCACGAUCGUUGGGAUCGCGCUCGCGUGCGUGAACAGGUGCCUCAAUCGUGCCAUGAUGUCAUCUACGGAGAGGUCAUCUAGUGACAUCCGGGAUGGAUCAUUGGGGCCCG
rnacentral:lncRNA from 1 species